ACACAUGCAGUCGAACGGUGAAGCAGAGCUUGCUCUGUGGAUCAGUGGCGAACGGGUGAGUAACACGUGAGCAACCUGCCCCGGACUCUGGGAUAAGCGCUGGAAACGGCGUCUAAUACUGGAUACGAGCUGCGACCGCAUGGUCAGCAGUUGGAAAGAUUUUUCGGUCUGGGAUGGGCUCACGGCCUAUCAGCUUGUUGGUGAGGUAAUGGCUCACCAAGGCGUCGACGGGUAGCCGGCCUGAGAGGGUGACCGGCCACACUGGGACUGAGACACGGCCCAGACUCCUACGGGAGGCAGCAGUGGGGAAUAUUGCACAAUGGGCGAAAGCCUGAUGCAGCAACGCCGCGUGAGGGAUGACGGCCUUCGGGUUGUAAACCUCUUUUAGCAGGGAAGAAGCGAGAGUGACGGUACCUGCAGAAAAAGCGCCGGCUAACUACGUGCCAGCAGCCGCGGUAAUACGUAGGGCGCAAGCGUUAUCCGGAAUUAUUGGGCGUAAAGAGCUCGUAGGCGGUUUGUCGCGUCUGCUGUGAAAUCCCGAGGCUCAACCUCGGGCCUGCAGUGGGUACGGGCAGACUAGAGUGCGGUAGGGGAGAUUGGAAUUCCUGGUGUAGCGGUGGAAUGCGCAGAUAUCAGGAGGAACACCGAUGGCGAAGGCAGAUCUCUGGGCCGUAACUGACGCUGAGGAGCGAAAGGGUGGGGAGCAAACAGGCUUAGAUACCCUGGUAGUCCACCCCGUAAACGUUGGGAACUAGUUGUGGGGUCCAUUCCACGGAUUCCGUGACGCA
rnacentral:rRNA from 1 species